rnacentral:rRNA from 1 species
UACGGGGGGAGCAAGCGUUGUUCGGAUUUACUGGGCGUAAAGGGCGCGUAGGCGGCCACCGCAAGUCGACUGUGAAAUCUCCGGGCUUAACCCGGAAAGGUCAGCCGAUACUGCGGGGCUAGAGUGCAGAAGGGGCAACUGGAAUUCUCGGUGUAGCGGUGAAAUGCGUAGAUAUCGAGAGGAACACCAGUGGCGAAGGCGAGUCCCUGGACAACUUCUGACGCUGAGGCACGAAAGCGUGGGGAGCAAACAGG